rnacentral:rRNA from 1 species
GAUGAACGCUAGCGGCAGGCCUAAUACAUGCAAGUCGAGGGGUACGGGAGAGCUUGCUUUCCCUGAGACCGGCGCACGGGUGCGUAACGCGUAUGCAACCUACCCUUUUCUGGGGGAUACCCCAUAGUCCUGGAGAGUCGCAUGGCUUUUCAGGUAAAACUCCGGUGGUUACAGACGGGCAUGCGUGACAUUAGCUAGUUGGUGAGGUAACGGCUCACCAAGGCAACGAUGUCUAGGGGUUCUGAGAGGAUGAUCCCCCACACUGGUACUGAGACACGGACCAGACUCCUACGGGAGGCAGCAGUGAGGAAUAUUGGUCAAUGGGCGCAAGCCUGAACCAGCCAUCCCGCGUGCAGGAUGACGGCCCUAUGGGUUGUAAACUGCUUUUGUACAGGAAGAAAAAUCCCCACGUGUAGGGACCUGCCGGUACUGUACGAAUAAGCAUCGGCUAACUCCGUGCCAGCAGCCGCCGUAAAAC